GACGAAGGACCCGAGCGUUAUCCGGAUUCAUUGGGUUUAAAGGGUGCGUAGGCGGAUUGAGGAAAAAAUGGUGAAAGCCUGUUGCUUAACAACAGAACUGCCAUUGAUACUGUUGAUCUUGAAUAUGUUUGAUGUGGGCGGAAUAUGACAUGUAGCGGUGAAAUGCUUAGAUAUGUCAUAGAACACCGAUUGCGAAGGCAGCUCACAAAACCAUUAUUGACGCUGAGGCACGAAAGCGUGGGGAUCAAACAGG
rnacentral:rRNA from 1 species